AUUGAACGCUGGCGGCAUGCCUUACACAUGCAAGUCGAACGGUAACAGGUCUUCGGAUGCUGACGAGUGGCGAACGGGUGAGUAAUACAUCGGAACGUGCCUAGUAGUGGGGGAUAACUACUCGAAAGAGUGGCUAAUACCGCAUGAGAUCUACGGAUGAAAGCAGGGGAUCGCAAGACCUUGUGCUACUAGAGCGGCCGAUGGCAGAUUAGGUAGUUGGUGGGAUAAAAGCUUACCAAGCCGACGAUCUGUAGCUGGUCUGAGAGGACGAUCAGGAAAACUGGGACUGGGACACGGCACAGACUCCUACGGGAGGCAGCAGUGGGGAAUUUUGGACAAUGGGCGCAAGCCUGAUCCAGCAAUGCCGCGUGCAGGAUGAAGGCCUUCGGGUUGUAAACUGCUUUUGUACGGAACGAAAAGCCCUGGGUUAAUACCCUGGGGUCAUGACGGUACCGUAAGAAUAAGCACCGGCUAACUACGUGCCAGCAGCCGCGGUAAGAC
rnacentral:rRNA from 1 species